CUUCUUCCUUUCCUCCUCUCGUCUGGCUUUUUUUUGGCCGCUGUUUUUUCCCCCCCUCGGCGGAGGGAGGGGACGGAGCUGCCGGCGGCCGGGCGGGGCGGGGGCAGGAGGCCGGGGGUCGCGGGGCCUCGCUCGCCACUUUGGCAGCGCGGCGGUCCCGACUGCCUGAUAGAUUACUUUCCCGUUAAAGAUAUACUCGGAGGCGGCUCCACGUGACCGCCUGACGUCAGGCGCCCCGCUGUGAAGUCAUGCAAAACUCGAGUUGUUUCAUGGACUGUCAACAAAGACCGGCGGCGGCUCCGCUCUGCCCGCCCCGACGGGGCCCGACGGCACCGGCACCGUCCGGCCCCCGCGGAAAUGCUGCCGCACCGGGGCUCGCCGCUGCCGCUCUCGGUGCGCCGGGCCCGAAGCCGCCGCUCUCGGGGCGCUCGGCAGCGCAGGCUCAGCGGAUGCGCCGCCUCAGGAGCGCUUAAAAGCACCAAGUUUGGGCUUUGAAACCACUUUCCGUGGGUUUCUAUUUUUUUUUUAAUUUUUUUUUUUUUCCAGGGGCAGCAGCACCAGCUGGGAACGGAAGACCAGAGAAUAGCUAUUGAUUAAUCUAUUAGAGGUGUUAACGACUUAAUCAUUGCGGGCUUUAGCAUAUGAAAAAGUAGGAAAUGAGGGAGUGUGUGUGAAUGUGAGGACCGUAUUGCCGCGGCCCCAGGAUCUCCGCGGCCCGUGACCUCCGCGCCCGCGCACCGCCCGCUGUCACACGCGGAGUCACAGAGCCACGUUCACUCACACGCACUCGCCUUGGGUGUCACCCGGCGAGCCGCAAAGGCUCUCCCUGGGAAAAAAAGGAGGAAAAACCCCAACUCCGCAGCCCCCCGCUCCAUUUGUUGCGCUUUUCUUCGGCACAAUAAAAGUCAAAUUAAUUGAUU